CCUACGGGAGGCAGCAGUGAGGAAUAUUGGUCAAUGGGCGCUAGCCUGAACCAGCCAAGUCGCGUGAGGGAUGAAGGCCCUAUGGGUUGUAAACUUCUUUUAUAUGGGAAUAAAGUGUGGGAUGUAUCCUAUUUUGCAUGUACCUUAUGAAUAAGGAUCGGCUAACUCCGUGCCAGCAGCCGCGGUAAUACGGAGGAUCCGAGCGUUAUCCGGAUUUAUUGGGUUUAAAGGGUGCGUAGGCGGGUUGUUAAGUCAGUGGUGAAAGUCUGUGGCUCAACCGUAAAAUUGCAGUUGAUACUGGGAGGCUUGAGUAUAGUAGAGGGAGGCGGAAUGCGUGGUGGAGCGGUGAAAUGCGUAGAUAUCACGAAGAACACCGAUUGCGAAGGCAGCCUGC
rnacentral:rRNA from 1 species